UGGGGAAUCUUAGACAAUGGGGGCAACCCUGAUCUAGCCAUGCCGCGUGAGUGAUGAAGGCCUUAGGGUUGUAAAGCUCUUUCAGCUGGGAAGAUAAUGACGGUACCAGCAGAAGAAGCCCCGGCUAACUCCGUGCCAGCAGCCGCGGUAAUACGGAGGGGGCUAGCGUUGUUCGGAAUUACUGGGCGUAAAGCGCACGUAGGCGGACCGGAAAGUUGGGGGUGAAAUCCCGGGGCUCAACCUCGGAACUGCCUUCAAAACUAUCGGUCUGGAGUUCGAGAGAGGUGAGUGGAAUUCCGAGUGUAGAGGUGAAAUUCGUAGAUAUUCGGAGGAACACCAGUGGCGAAGGCGGCUCACUGGCUCGAUACUGACGCUGAGGUGCGAAAGCGUGGGGAGCAAACAGG
rnacentral:rRNA from 3 species